CCUACGGGCGGCUGCAGUGGGGAAUAUUGGACAAUGGGCGAAAGCCUGAUCCAGCCAUGCCGCGUGUGUGAAGAAGGCCUUCGGGUUGUAAAGCACUUUCAUUGGGGAAGAAAGCCUUGGGGCUAAUACCCUCGAGGAAGGACAUCACCCACAGAAGAAGCACCGGCUAACUCCGUGCCAGCAGCCGCGGUAAUACGGAGGGUGCGAGCGUUAAUCGGAAUUACUGGGCGUAAAGCGCGCGUAGGCGGUCUGAUAAGCCGGUUGUGAAAGCCCCGGGCUCAACCUGGGAACGGCAUCCGGAACUGUCAGGCUAGAGUGCAGGAGAGGAAGGUAGAAUUCCCGGUGUAGCGGUGAAAUGCGUAGAGAUCGGGAGGAAUACCAGUGGCGAAGGCGACCUUCUGGACUGACACUGACGCUGAGGUGCGAAAGCGUGGGUAGCAAACAGGAUUAGAUACCCCAGUAGUC
rnacentral:rRNA from 1 species